rnacentral:rRNA from 1 species
UCCAGACUCCUACGGGAGGCAGCAGUGGGGAAUAUUGGGCAAUGGGCGCAAGCCUGACCCAGCAACGCCGCGUGAAGGAAGAAGGCUUUCGGGUUGUAAACUUCUUUUAAGAGGGAAGAGUAGAAGACGGUACCUCUUGAAUAAGCCACGGCUAACUACGUGCCAGCAGCCGCGGUAAUACGUAGGUGGCAAGCGUUAUCCGGAUUUACUGGGUGUAAAGGGCGUGUAGGCGGGAAAGCAAGUCAGAUGUGAAAACCAUGGGCUCAACCUGUGGCCUGCAUUUGAAACUGUUUUUCUUGAGUACUGGAGAGGCAGACGGAAUUCCUAGUGUAGCGGUGAAAUGCGUAGAUAUUAGGAGGAACACCGGCGGCGAAGGCGGCCUGCUGGACCGUGACUGACGUUGAGGCUCGAGAGCGUGGGGAGCAAACAGGAUUAGAUACCCCAGUAAAA